rnacentral:rRNA from 3 species
AGAAUGACUCUCGGCAACGGAUAUCUAGGCUCUUGCAUCGAUGAAGAACGUAGCGAAAUGCGAUACUUGGUGUGAAUUGCAGAAUCCCGUGAACCAUCGAGUCUUUGAACGCAAGUUGCGCCCGAAACCAUCAGGUUGAGGGCACGUCUGCCUGGGCGUCACAU